UGGUUGUUUCAUGGUUGGCCCAAUAUGUG
rnacentral:piRNA from 1 species